AGGGGAUUAGUUUAAUGGCUAGAACAGCGGUCUCCAAAACCGCUGAUGGGAGUUCGACUCUCUCAUCCCCUGCCA
rnacentral:tRNA from 2 species